GACGAACGCUGGCGGCGUGGAUUAGGCAUGCAAGUCGAACGGUAUCAUCCUUUCGGGGGUGAGAGAGUGGCGAACUGGUGAGUAACACGUAGGUUAUCUACCCUCAAGACGGGGACAACCCAGGGAAACUUGGGCUAAUACCGGAUGUGAGCAACUUUUAGUUGUUUGAAAGGUGGCGUAAGCUGUCGCUUGGGGAUGAGCCUGCGUCCUAUUAGUUAGUUGGUGAGGUAACGGCUCACCUAGGCAAUGAUAGGUAGGCGGCCUUAACGGGUGGUCGCCCACACUGGGAUUGAGAUACGGCCCAGACUCCUACGGGAGGCAGCAGUCGAGAAUAGUCUACAAUGGUCGGAAGACUGAUAGUGCGACGCCGCGUGAACGAUGAAUCCCUUCGGGGUGUAAAGUUCUUUUAUAUGUGAGCAGUGCUUCUUAUAUUAACAGUAUGGGGAGAGAGAUAUUAGCAUAUGAAUAAGCAACGGCUAAACUCCCGUGCCAGCAAGCCGCGGUAAU
rnacentral:rRNA from 1 species